rnacentral:misc_RNA from 1 species
GAUGAAGAACGUAGUGAAAUGCGAUAAGUAAUGUGAAUUGCAGAAUUCAGUGAAUCAUCGAAUCUUUGAACGCACCUUGUGCUCCUUGGUAUUCCGAGGAGCAUGCCUGUUUGAGUGUCAUUAAUAUAUCAACCUUCUCUUUUUUGAGUUGUUUGGAUGUGGGGGUUUGCUGGCCUCUUAAAUGAUUCAGCUCCCCUGAAAUGCAUUAGCAGAACAACCUGUUCAUUAGCGUGAUAAUUAUCUAUGCUAUUGAAUGUGAGGGCAGUUCAGCUUUCUAACCGUCCUUGGACAAUUCAUCAUUAAUGUGACCUCAAAUCAGGUAGGACUACCCGCUGAACUUAAGCAUAUCAAUAAGCGGAGGA